GACGAACGCUGGCGGCGUGCUUAACACAUGCAAGUCGAACGGAAAGGCCCUGCUUUUGUGGGGUGCUCGAGUGGCGAACGGGUGAGUAACACGUGAGUAACCUGCCCUUGACUUUGGGAUAACUUCAGGAAACUGGGGCUAAUACCGGAUAUGAGCUCCUGCUGCAUGGUGUGGGUUGGAAAGUUUCGGCGGUUGGGGAUGGACUCGCGGCUUAUCAGCUUGUUGGUGGGGUAGUGGCUUACCAAGGCUUUGACGGGUAGCCGGCCUGAGAGGGUGACCGGCCACAUUGGGACUGAGAUACGGCCCAGACUCCUACGGGAGGCAGCAGUGGGGAAUAUUGCACAAUGGGCGGAAGCCUGAUGCAGCAACGCCGCGUGAGGGAUGACGGCCUUCGGGUUGUAAACCGCUUUCGCCUGUGACGAAGCGUGAGUGACGGUAAUGGGUAAAGAAGCACCGGCUAACUACGUG
rnacentral:rRNA from 1 species